rnacentral:rRNA from 1 species
UCAGUUAUCGUUUAUUUGAUAGUACCUUACUACAUGGAUACCCGUGGUAACUCUAGAGCUAAUACAUGCUGAAAAUCCCGACUUCGGAAGGGAUGUAUUUAUUAGAUUAAAAACCAAUGCCCUCACGGGCUCUCUGGUGAUUCAUAAUAACUUCUCGAAUCGCACGGCCUUGCGCCGGCGAUGGUUCAUUCAAAUUUCUGCCCUAUCAACUUUCGACGGCUGGGUCUUGGCCAGCCAUGGUGACAACGGGUAACGGAGGGUUAGGGCUCGACCCCGGAGAAGGAGCCUGAGAAACGGCUACUACAUCCAAGGAAGGCAGCAGGCGCGCAAAUUACCCAAUCCCAACUCGGGGAGGUAGUGACAAUAAAUACUGAUACAGGGCUCUUUUGGGUCUUGUAAUUGGAAUGAGUACAAUUUAAAUCCCUUAACGAGGAACAAUUGGAGGGCAAGUCUGGUGCCAGCAGCCGCGGUAAUUCCAGCUCCAAUAGCGUAUAUUAAAGUUGUUGAGGUUAAAAAGCUCGUAGUUGAACCUUGGGCCCAGCCGGCCGGUCCGCCUCACCGCGUGCACUGGCUCGGCCGGGCCUUUCCUUCUGGAGAACCUCAUGCCCUUCACUGGGUGUGCUGGGGAACCAGGACUUUUACUCUGAACAAAUUAGAUCGCUUAAAGAAGGCCUAUGCUCGAAUACAUUAGCAUGGAAUAAUGGAAUAGGACGUGUGGUUCUAUUUUGUUGGUUUCUAGGACCGCCGUAAUGAUUAAUAGGGACAGUCGGGGGCAUCAGUAUUCAAUUGUCAGAGGUGAAAUUCUUGGAUUUAUUGAAGACUAACUACUGCGAAAGCAUUUGCCAAGGAUGUUUUCAUUAAUCAGGAACGAAAGUUAGGGGAUCGAAGACGAUCAGAUACCGUCGUAGUCUUAACCAUAAACUAUGCCGAUUAGGGAUCGGACUGUGUUAUUAUUUGACCCGUUCGGCACCUUACGAUAAAUCAAAAUGUUU